rnacentral:rRNA from 1 species
GACGAACGCUGGCGGCGUGCCUAACACAUGCAAGUCGAACGGAGAUUUACGUCAACACAAAGCUCUUCACGUAAGAGUAAUGUGGAGGGUUUUGAGUUGAUGUAAAUCUUAGUGGCGAACGGGUGAGUAACGCGUGAGCAACCUACCAAGGAGAGGGGGAUAACACAGAGAAAUCUGUGCUAAUACCGCAUAAAGUCACGAUAUCGCAUGGUAUGGUGAUGAAAGGGCUUUUGCCUGCUUCUUGAUGGGCUCGCGUCUGAUUAGCUAGUUGGUAGGGUAACGGCCUACCAAGGCGAUGAUCAGUAGCCGGGCUGAGAGGUUGACCGGCCACAUUGGGACUGAGACACGGCCCAGACUCCUACGGGAGGCAGCAGUGGGGAAUAUUGCGCAAUGGGGGGAACCCUGACGCAGCGACGCCGCGUGAAGGAAGAAGGUCUUCGGAUUGUAAACUUUUGUCUUUGGUGACGAUAAUGACGGUAGCCAAGGAGGAAGCCACGGCUAAC